AUGUAUAGACGAUGUUUUCUAAUAAGUGAAAAAAUUUAUAUAUAUGUUAGGAUGGCCGAGGAUGAGGACAAUGGGCGUUUGUAUACGGGGCUUGACCUUGCUUUUAACAAGGAUCAUCGUGCCCGUGCUAUCGAGCGUGGAGAGAAACUUGCUGUCGUGCGCUUUAGGAGCCACACGAUGGAAAACCAGAUGCAAUAUGACGUGCACUACGAGCCGUACUUUGAGCGUGCCGGGCUCUUACCGUUUGUUCUUCAGUUCAAGCGCGUGCCGCCGUUGAUGUGCCAUUCAGCUCUCACCGCCCUCGUUGAUCGUUGA
rnacentral:rRNA from 1 species